UACGUAGGGUGCAAGCGUUAAUCGGAAUUACUGGGCGUAAAGCGUGCGCAGGCGGUUUUGUAAGACAGAGGCGAAAUCCCCGGGCUCAACCUGGGAACUGCCUUUGUGACUGCAAGGCUAGAGUACGGCAGAGGGGGGUGGAAUUCCGCGUGUAGCAGUGAAAUGCGUAGAUAUGCGGAGGAACACCGAUGGCGAAGGCAACCCCCUGGGCCUGUACUGACGCUCAUGCACGAAAGCGUGGGGAGCAAACAGGAUUAGAUACCCUGGUAGUCCACGCCCUAAACGAUGUCAACUGGUUGUUGGGUCUUAACUGACUCAGUAACGAAGCUAACGCGUGAAGUUGACCGCCUGGGGAGUACGGCCGCAAGGUUGAA
rnacentral:rRNA from 1 species